rnacentral:snoRNA from 1 species
CAGACUACACUUUCAGGGAUUAUUUCUAUAGUUCGUGACGAGAAGCUUCGCUGAACAUGUAGAACACCAGAAGCCAUGCGGAGGAGGUGCAGGGUUCUCUCCUGAGCGUGAAGCCGGCUCUUGGUGCUACUUGGUGCUGUGGCUGCCAUUUGCCUUUCAUGGUUGCUUUUCUCUUCUGGGAGAGUGGAGGGAGAGGAUGCAGUCUGAGUGGU